rnacentral:rRNA from 1 species
GACCUCAAAUCAGGUAGGACUACCCGCUGAACUUAAGCAUAUCAAUAAGCGGAGGAAAAGAAACUAACGAGGAUUCCCCUAGUAACUGCGAGUGAAGCGGGAAGAGCUCAAAUUUCGAAUCUGGCG